AUGAGCUCCUAUCUCUCUCAUAUCAUUAGAGAUCAUUCCCUGGACUUUAUUGGUCUGCAAGAGACCCAUAAAAAAACUGUGGAUAGUUUAUUUAGAAAAAUAGAUCCAUACCAGACAUAUGAAUGGGACUUUGUUCCAUAUAUAGGUAGAUCUGGAGGAAUCCUUUGUGGGGUGAGGAAAGAGAGAUUUGAAGGAGUCAUGUGGAAGAAGGGCAAGUUUAUCCUGCAAGCUUCAUUCUUUGAUAAUAAAGAGAAAAAUAAGUGGACAUUGUGCACUGUAUAUGGUGCUGCACAUGAUAAGGACAAGGAGGAUUUUCUAACUGAACUUUCUAAGUUCUGUAGUCAUAUUUCAUAUCCUUUGCUCAUUGGAGGGGACUUUAAUAUACUUAGGCAUGCUGGGGAAAGAACAAACUGGCAGCAUUCCACUUAUUCUGACUUGUUUAAUUCUGUGAUCAAUGCUAUGUGUUUGAAUGAGGUUUAUAUGAGUGGGGGGAUGUACACUUGGACCAAUGACCAAUCCCAUCCAACUCUUGAGAAAUUAGACCGUGUCCUUAUGAGUAAUGACUGGGAGGACAUUUUUCCUCAAGUCAAUAUUAUGAAACUAGUCAGAGAUGUAUCAGACCAUAAUGCUCUUUUGCUUUCCUCUGACAACCAUGUUGUUAGAUCUCCACAGACAAGAGAGUUCAGAUUCGAGUUAAGUUGGUUGAAAUCAGAUGAGUUUCUGCCUUUGGUAGAGAAAGUGUGGAACCAAUAUGUGAAAGCCACUGAUCCAAUUGAUAUAUUAAAUAUCAAGUUAAAACAUUUCAAAAAGUUCUUCAAAGUAUGGGGCUCGAAUAAAUUUGGUCAUGAAAGAAUUAGGAAAAAUGAUAUCAGAGAAGAGCUGAGGGGGAUUGAAGAAGAAGAAGAGAAGGGAAAUACUGAUCCUGGUAUUUUUUUGUAA
rnacentral:rRNA from 1 species